GAUAGCUGUUGGGUUCGUGUGGCCAACGCAUUGCUGACAACUGAACGUGCGAGCGCCGCGUGUUGGGUCCCUCGUGCGAGGCGUCGCCCAUGUGUUGGUGGCAAACCCUUCCUCAAUCACAACAGCCGCCAGAGCCGCCGCGCCUCUCCUUCCUCCUCGCCACCCCCUCCCGCGGCGCGCAUCCCUCGGAUCAUCGUGCCCAACUCCCCUUCGUGUUUCUCCUCCUCCCAGAACCACAUCCCAUCGCUUAGGCUCCUUGGUGGCGGCCGGCUCAAGGCGAGCCUGGCGCAGGCGGGGAGAAGCAGCGGGGCGGCGGAUGUGGGUGGGAGAGUGCCGAACGGCGCCGUCAUUAUCGCCCCGCCAAGACGCAUCGAAGAAGGACCAGGAUCUCACCCUCGUCCCUUCUUGAUGCACCUCCCCAGUGAGUUCCUCCUGCCUAAUUCAGCUCCCCUUUCCAUCUAAUUUCAUUGUUGUUUCACAUGUUGGUUUGGUUGGCAAGAGACGUUGCGCCGCCGACUGCAGUAGCCAGGGUUGGCGUUGGUGAUGUCUGUAGUAUUUUCGUCCUCUCCAGUCACACAAUUCCUAGGUUAUGGGACUGGAUCUCCAUUUUCCAAGAUUCUUAGCUGAUAAGUAUAUUGUGCGGAAAAAUCUCUACUGAAUGACAAAUCCAAGCAAUCUGGAUACUCCAUGGGACAAAGUUGAAGCUUUGUACAUCACUUCUCUACCUGUUUAUUAAUGUUUCUUCAUGUUUGGCAGUGAUCUGGGUUUCCAUCGACGAAGAUUUCAUGCUCAACCUCCCUCACGGCCCCAUGUUCGGCUACUUUCCAGUUUUGUUAGUUUUCUUCUUGGUAGCACUGAACACCAUGGAAACAUGGGUGUCGUGGCCACACACAUGCAUUUUGUCGUCCUCCUUAAAAUUCAGUUAGAUUAUAUGCAAACAUGUAGCCGUGUUUACUUAAGAUCCAAUUAGAUGAAUGUUGUUUAUUUUUCCAUAUAGUUUCUAUUUACAAAGGCCUCAUAUGAAAGUUGGGGACAUGCCGUGAACAUAUGGUUUUGUGAUCUAUGGUCUUGAGUCAUAUGUUGGAUGGGUGAUAAUGGAAAUUUCUUGAGGAUAAACCCGUGCAUAAGUUUUGUGAGAGUUAAACCUGUUUUAUGAGAGGUAAAGCUGUUUUUUGAGAGUUAAACCCGUGCAUACGAAUGUAUUUUUUUAGAACUGGUCAAACUAUUUUUUGUGAGAGUUAAAGCUGUUUUUUGGAGGACAAACCCGUGAAUAAGUUUCUCAUAUGUAUAGAUUAAUUAAUAGGAUGGCAAUUUAAGUUUAUUGGAGCUCUUUUUAAGAAGUGGGGGUCUGCUUUGGUUUCUUGCUGUUUGCAUAUUCUCUUAAAAACACUUGACUGACUGCAGCUGACUGUUUUUACAUCAAUAAUAUGGGCAGUUGAAUAUGGCGUUUUCAAGUGAAGGAUUUCAAAAAUCUAAUAUGGCAUGCCUAUUUUUCAUGGAAAAACAAAUGGUACCUUAUUUACUAUUUAGUUUUUAAGCUAGACUAAUUUGACUACACGCGUCCUGAGGUGCCUUCUGUUUUGGAAUAGUCAUAGAAUGCUCCUUAUUACGAGAUGUUCCUUUGUCACUAUUUGAAGUUCUGCCUAGGGUGGCCUUUGUCUUAGUUUACAGCUUCAUAUGGCUACCUAUGUAUAACAUAUGUAUGUUCUGUUUGAACUGUCUCAAAUCACAUAGAGAUGUUAAAUUUUCAAUUUGUUGCCUCGCGGUCGUGUGACAUCACCAUGUUUACUCCAGAAAAGUGGAAUGUGCAGAGUUUUUGUGUUGAUUAGUCAAAUAUUUGCUUUGCCUUAAAGACUCUCCCCAUCUAUGUUCCAGGUUGUGGCAACGCUGCAGAUAUGCCCAUUGCCAUUGAGCAUUUCUAUCUAUAUGCUUCUACAGAGUAUUUGGUUUUUGUGCUAUACGCUUGAUGAAAUAAUUUCCUUAUAAGCUGGGACAAGGCGUUUGUAGUUGAUAUUUGUACUAUAAGCUCAAUUUUUUUGGUUCAUCUCAUCUCUGGUUAUUUUUUCGUUUUUUGUGUUUCUGUAGCAUAUUAUCAUUAGCAUAUAAAACCUCUUAUAUUUCUUGUUUUCAACAAUUAUUCUUUGGCAGGGAAGAUUAUGAUAACACUAAGAUUAUCAUGAAAGGAUUCAGGGCUUUUUUUGAAUCCAGAUUAUCACACAUGAUGCAAAAUUAACAACCACGACUUUGAAAUAUGGAUGAUGAUGCUUAUUAUGUGCUAGAAAUCAAAUAUGUAAAGGAGAAGAUAAUGUUUGCGAAGGUGUGUAUAUUGAACAAGCAUCCUGAUUGAUGUGUUUUUCUGUUGUUUCUUGAUGUGCCCUCAUGCAGCUGUGUCCAUAUAUACUGAUUGUUAUACUUAUUGUUGUGUGAGUUGCGGGAGAGGGGAGAGAGAUACGGGUUGAUUCUGGGUAAACUUUGCUUAAUUUGUUGGAGAAAAUGCUCGAUAGAUCUCAUGGAUGGAUGAGGUUGUGGCAGUAGUUCUCGGGUGCAAUAUCUAUCUUGAUAGAGUGACCAACCAGGGCACAUUAGAAGCAGAAGAAGAGGAAACGUUUGGGCCGUCUAUGGCGUUGAAGAUUCAGCGUUUCUGUCUUGUGUACAUGCACGGCCAGUUCAGUAACUAGAUGGCCUUUUCUACUGUACUGGUGCUGCUACUUUUCACAUGCUAGCUUCUUUGGAAAGCGCCAACAAUGUGUACAACAUGUAAAGAGUCCAUCUUGAAGGAACAGAAGCAGAACUAUGGAGCUGAUGUAUUAAUGGUCAAUCAUGGAAUUCAGUCUCGAUGAGCU